GAUGAACGCUGGCGGCGUGCCUAACACAUGCAAGUCGAGCGAAGCACUUUGCUUAGAUUCUUCGGAUGAAGAGGAUUGUGACUGAGCGGCGGACGGGUGAGUAACGCGUGGGUAACCUGCCUCAUACAGGGGGAUAACAGUUAGAAAUGACUGCUAAUACCGCAUAAGACCACAGCACCGCAUGGUGCGGGGGUAAAAACUCCGGUGGUAUGAGAUGGACCCGCGUCUGAUUAGCUAGUUGGUAAGGUAACGGCUUACCAAGGCGACGAUCAGUAGCCGACCUGAGAGGGUGACCGGCCACAUUGGGACUGAGACACGGCCCAAACUCCUACGGGAGGCAGCAGUGGGGAAUAUUGCACAAUGGGGGAAACCCUGAUGCAGCGACGCCGCGUGAGCGAAGAAGUAUUUCGGUAUGUAAAGCUCUAUCAGCAGGGAAGAAAAUGACGGUACCUGACUAAGAAGCACCGGCUAAAUACGUGCCAGCAGCCGCGGUAAUACGUAUGGUGCAAGCGUUAUCCGGAUUUACUGGGUGUAAAGGGAGCGUAGACGGAUGGGCAAGUCUGAUGUGAAAACCCGGGGCUCAACCCCGGGACUGCAUUGGAAACUGUUCAUCUAGAGUGCUGGAGAGGUAAGUGGAAUUCCUAGUGUAGCGGUGAAAUGCGUAGAUAUUAGGAGGAACACCAGUGGCGAAGGCGGCUUACUGG
rnacentral:rRNA from 1 species